UACGGGGGGUGCAAGCGUUAAUCGGAAUUACUGGGCGUAAAGGGUGCGUAGGUGGUAAUAUAAGCUAUAUGUGAAAGCCCUGGGCUUAACCUAGGAAUGUCGUAUAGGACUGUAUAACUUGAGUACAGGAGAGGGUAGUGGAAUUUCCGGUGUAGCGGUGAAAUGCGUAGAGAUCGGAAGGAACACCAGUGGCGAAGGCGACUACCUGGACUGAGACUGACACUGAGGCACGAAAGCGUGGGGAGCAAACAGG
rnacentral:rRNA from 1 species